UACAGAGGUCUCAAGCGUUGUUCGGAUUCAUUGGGCGUAAAGGGUGCGUAGGUGGCGCGCUAAGUCAGGUGUGAAAUUUCGGGAGCUUAACUCCGAAACUGCAUUUGAUACUGGCGUGCUUGAGGACUGGAGAGGAGACUGGAAUUCAUGGUGUAGCAGUGAAAUGCGUAGAGAUCAUGAGGAAGACCAGUGGCGAAGGCGGGUCUCUGGACAGUUCCUGACACUGAGACACGAAGGCCAGGGGAGCAAACGGG
rnacentral:rRNA from 1 species